UACAGAGGUCCCAAGCGUUGUUCGGAUUCAUUGGGCGUAAAGGGUGCGUAGGCGGCGCGGUAAGUCGGGUGUGAAAUCUCGGGGCUUAACUCCGAAACUGCAUUCGAUACUGCCGUGCUCGAGUACUGGAGGGGAAAGCGGAAUUCCUGGUGUAGCGGUGAAAUGCGUAGAUAUCAGGAGGAACACCGGUGGCGAAGGCGGCUUUCUGGACAGUAACUGACGCUGAUGCGCGAAAGCUAGGGGAGCAAACAGG
rnacentral:rRNA from 1 species